CACUGUUAGCUAUUAUCAGAGAUAGCUGUGUAUGGAGAAUUCCUGAAACCUCCAAUCCUCUGAAACUAGAGUCAGGAAACAGACUUUGACACAUAGACCAAAAACAGAGGUGACAGGUUCAUCUUAUGUACCAACUGGCCAGUUGGCAAUGAGUGCCUAGAAUGUGCCUGAGGCACAAUUCUAAGAGCUAUCUGGCUCAGUAGGGAAGAGUAUGCUAUGAUCUAUUAGUGAGAUGUCUGUUCUGGGUGGCAGAGAGAGUCAUGUCAGCAUGUGUGCUAUAGAUUUGCCUUCUUUAGACUGAAGCUUCAUUCUAGACAGUUUGGGAGCCAGUAACAAAGGGCUGGGGCUGGCCUUGUCCACUUGUGCUAGUCUCCACUUGCUCCAUGUUUUACUCCUAGCACAAAGUUGAGACAUGGCCAGAGCCCAAACCCAGCUGCCUUUUCCUCAAGAAACUUUUGCUGGCAUUAAUCAAGACCUGUAAAUCCACCAUGUGGAUGACACAGGCUGUGUGCCCAGCCCAGACUCUGCGAGCGACAGAAGAGGAGGGAGUUGCUUAGUGACAUGACACAAAGGGCGUCUUUGAUUCAUCACCCGGCCCCAGCCCCAAGCCCCUGGCCAGCAGCGAGGAACGGCUGCAAAUGAGCAAUAGGACUCCUUUACAAAUGUCACUUUGCUGUAAAAUGUAAAUGUUUAACAUUUAGACACGAACGCUGACUCCCAAAAUGCCUAGUGCUGGGUGGCUUUUAUUCAUUCUCUUAGGGAUUCUUUGUCCUCCCAUGGUGAGAGAUUUCACUGCAUGAUUUACACCCCUGUGCUUGUUAAAUUGCUGGCAUGUCUUGCCCCAGAUAGGGCAGCAAAAGAGCAGAGAUUUGCAGGGGACUUUAUACCUUUCCUGUUAAUGCAGAGUAUUAAAUAUACAGUGCAAUUCCAUCGGCAGCCACUGCUCAGAGGUGCUAUGAACUCUGAACAGAGGAGAUUUCAUUUUAUUUCCAAUUAUCCUGGACUUCAAAAUAUAGGAUUGUGUCAUUGAAGGUCGAGAAAGACCAAAAACAGCAAUAAAAUAUAUUCCCUGGGAGUUCUGUCUUCUAGACCUGCUCAUCAGCUAAUUCUGUCUUAGUGGUCUGGGACUAAGGGGCAGGUACAUUGAGGAUAUGGGUGAUUGUUCUUGGGGCUAAAUUCCUUUUCCCCCCAAGACAAUUCUAAUGAGGGUAAGCCCUGUAGCCACUCUCAGCCUCCUGAUGAUUGGCCUUUGGAUAAAGAUGGACCUAGCAUAAAAAGUAAGUCAAAGUUCAGACAUCUGGCAAGACUCAGAGCCAGGCAAGGAAAGCAAUAGGGUCACAGGAAUCACUGGGCGUAGGGGCAGGAAGAUCUAGAUGGCAGUUUCACCCAACUUUCGUUUCCUCUAGAACAUAUUGUUUGUUGAAUUUUUCUCUGCACCCACCCCACACUUGCUGCCUCCCACAGUUUUGAUCACAGUAGGCACUUAAUGCCUAUUUGUUUAAUUAAUUAAAUAAGUAGUGAGUCACUGGCAAACCUAGCGCUGGCUGAAGAGAUUAUGUCUAAAGUUCCAAUGGCUGAAUUUUACAACUUCGGACAAGUCUCUUAACCUCUCCGUAUGAGAUUUUAUGUUAUUCCUGUCACAUUCUUUGGAAGUAACUGAGAUAGAAAGAGAUUAUUAUUAAUUUACCAAUAAGAAACAGAGGCUCAGACAGGCUACAGGUUUUUCUUGAUAUCAUGUUGAGUUAGUAAUAAAGUCAAAAUGAAAAUUCUGCUUUUUUGAUUUCUCAUUCGAUUUUUGUUUUUCUUCAGUUCACCAUACUGAAUGUUCACACUUUGCACCAUGAACCCAGGUGAGGUACCUAUGAUCAUCCAGGCCAGGACCAGGGUGAGGCAAGUGAGGAGCUGAAGUACACCAUGGUGUAUAUCUAUCACUUUCUUUAUCCAAUCCACUGUUGAUGGGCACCUGCGUUGAUUCCAUGUCUUUGUUAUUGUGAACACCACAGCAAUGAACAUGUAAGUACAUGUGUCCUUUUG
rnacentral:lncRNA from 1 species